GCCGGGCGCGGUGGCGCGUGCCUGUAGUCCCAGCUACUCGGGAGGCUGAGGCUUGAGGAUCCCUUGAGUUCAGGAGUUCUGGGCUGCAGUGCGCUAUGCCGAUCGGGUGUCCGCACUAAGUUCGGCAUCAAUAUGGUGACCUCCCGGGAGCGGGGGACCACCAGGUUGCCUAAGGAGGGGUGAACCGGCCCAGGUCGGAAACGGAGCAGGUCAAAACUCCCGUGCUGAUCAGUAGUGGGAUCGCGCCUGUGAAUAGCCACUGCACUCCAGCCUGGGCAACAUAGUGAGACCCUGCCUCU
ensembl:misc_RNA Metazoa_SRP Metazoan signal recognition particle RNA